CAGAAGCGCCGGGAGAGCUUGUGAUACUCCCCCCGAAGGUUGUGCUUUGGUGCUACACAACUUUUGUGAUGAGUGUUUUUCGAUUUAUGUGAUUGUCGGUAAACGACCAAUCACAAAUACUCGACACUCCAAGGUUGCCUUGAAACUCGGAACCUUUAAAGAUGGAGAGAGCUUGUGAUACUCCCUCCCAAAGUAUAAUGACUUCUGGCCGAAGCGACAGAAGUAUUGGGAGAGUUUGUGAUACUCUUCCCUUGAAUUUGACGACUUCUGGCCAAAGCGACAGAAGUGCCGGGAGAGUUUGUGAUACUCCCCCCUGAAGUGUGAUGACUUCUGGCCGAAGCGACAGAAGUGUUAGGAGAGUGUAAUAUUUUUGUAAUAUUUUUGGAACUUAUUUUAACCAAUUAUUCUGCUUUCUUAAUUAAUUGUUUAUUUAAUUUAUUUUUCGAAUUGUAACUAAGACCCGAAACUAGAUUCACAAGUCGUAAUUUAGCCACUCUGGACGUAAAUUAGACUCUGGUAACCCUAUUGCUAGCCACUCUGGGCGUAGGCUUGGUCGUACGAAUCGUAGCUCAGUCUACGGCUAAAUUCGUGAAAUAAAUUAAACUUCACAACUAACUUAAGACUCGCAAAGUUAAUUGACGUAAUAAGUUAGAGAUACAAAUAUUGUCGGGAAUAGGACUUAGAACUUUUUUGAGAACCUAAGAUUCUAGAUUUCAUUCCCUAAUGUGUAGUUGAGCUCUGGCCGAAGCGACAGAGUAACUUUUGGACCCGUAUCAAGGCCAAAGCGACGAGAUGGGGUAGGAUCGUUAAGGCCAUAGCGACAAAACGAUUUAAAUCAAUUAAGGCCAUAGCGACAAAAUAGAUUUUGUAUUGUGGGUAUUUAGAACCUCUUGGGGUUAGGUUCAUCUGUAAUUAUCAACUACCUAAGACUCUACACUUAUACCC
rnacentral:lncRNA from 1 species